GCGAGCGGAACGCACGCUGUGAUGGCCCUCCAGUGAACCAAAUGAAUAACCCGCGUAAUACAAACACGCGAAAGUACAUCAGUUACGCUAAAUCCGUCUGUUUCUGUUCACUGUGUAUUUUAUAUCGUCUAGGAUAAGACUCUCUAGGACUGUUCCCGUUUGUGGCUAAUGCGAAGAGAUGUCGACCGGGCUGGGUGUCGAUGGCGCUGGGUGAACUUGCUCGGCUAGGCGCCCAUGCGCGCCUGCCUCCUGCUGUGUGCGGCGCUCGCGCUCACGCCGCGCGCCGCCGCCGCCUCGCACAAGCACACACACGGGACACACGGGACACACGGUACACACGGGACGCACGGGACACACGGGACGCACGAGACGCACGGCUCACACGAGAUACAGGAGCCGGCGAGACUAGAACACAUCAAAACACAAAUACUUGCCAAGCUGGGUUUGGCGGAGCGACCGACGCCGUUAGGGGCGCCACCACGUGACGUCGUGAGGCAGAUAUUAGCUAGGGCGGCGGACGACCAGCCCGAACACCAACCCGAGCCGGAACAGAGCAUGAGAGAAAUUAUUGCAAUAGCACACAGAGGUAUGACAUUACUGGUUUCCGAACGUAAACAAUGUAAGUAUUUACAUUAUUCUAUAUAGAAUAUAAUUAGAAAGAAAAAUGAAUUAAAGCAACAAAUUAUAACAACAAUAUAUAAAUGUCUUAUAAACAUAAAUGUAAAUAAAAUAAAUCUCCAACAUUUUCUAUUGAAUCGCUCGAUGUAGACGGCUAUGUUGAAAGCGUAUUAAUACACAUUGAUUAAAAAGUGUUGGCAUAGCAUCAAUUACUUAAAAAAAAAACUAUUGUUCUAUGAGUUAAUUGAAAGAUAAUAUAAGUAAUGUUAUACAAAAUGGGAAUACGAAGCAUAAGAAUCUUAAAUAUCGUUUUCAAUUUCAGGAUUUUACUACCAAAGCUUACAUAACCGGAUGAAGAAAUUACACAUGACUAUGCCGUCAUAUGUGACCCGAUGACUGCGACCGUUUUCUUAAAACAUAUAUCAUAGUUAUUGUAAAUGCUCAAAUCUAAAGCCUUAGAAAUUAAGUUAUUAUUUGAACUGUCGAAUUGUCACGAAGACUUAAACUUAAAUUAACGUUUAAUGUUUUUUGUUAAAUAUUCCAUGCAAUGAUUAAUUUGGAUCGCCAAUAACAACUUUUUUCUAAAUUUUCCAUACACUUUAGGAAAUUAUUCUUGAAGAUAACUUUAUUCUUAUUAAUAAAAUAGUAUAUUUUUAUUAAAAAUAUAAAUGUAUUAUUAAAAUUUGUUGAAUCAAUAUUUUUUAUGAACUAU